rnacentral:rRNA from 1 species
UACGUAGGGUGCAAGCGUUAAUCGGAAUUACUGGGCGUAAAGCGUGCGCAGGCGGUGAUGUAAGCCAGGCGUGAAAUCCCCGGGCUUAACCUGGGAACUGCAUUUGUGACUGCAUCGCUGGAGUGCGGCAGAGGGGGAUGGAAUUCCGCGUGUAGCAGUGAAAUGCGUAGAUAUGCGGAGGAACACCGAUGGCGAAGGCAAUCCCCUGGGCCUGCACUGACGCUCAUGCACGAAAGCGUGGGGAGCAAACAGG